CUUGAUUAUUUUAUGAAAUAAAUUGAUUGAUAAAUAACUUAAUUUAAAGGUAUAAUCACUUAUAGAAAUUUUCAUGAAUGACUAGUUUAAUGUAUCUUAAGAAGAUAUCAUAUUUUUGAUGGUCAAAGUUUUUUAAGUAGUAUAAAAUCUUAUUAAAAGACUCUAGAAGAGCAUAUACAUUGUUUUCUAUGGGAAUACAAAAUUAAAAUCAUCGAUGCGGUAUAGUUCUCCAAAUCUCAAAGUUAAUAUGAUGAGAUAUAAAUACAUUAUGAUUCUAGAGUGGAAUUCAAUACGAGAUGGAUGAACUUGAAGUUUCAUCAUUUCGAGGAGGAGAAGUAAUGAAUCUCACAUGGAUAAUAAGUGACAUAUCCAGAAGAUUAUGUUCAAUCUUUGACUACUAAAGAUCUAAAAGUUGUAUAAAGCAAUUCUUAUACGAAUGUGUUAUUAGAUAAAAUAAGUUAUAAUUAGUUAUUACUAAAACUUCAAGACUUGAAGUCUCUUUGUGAAUAUAACUCACAUUGUUAAGAGAAUAUCUUUGAUGCGGAGAUGGUAAAACAGACACUUCAACUUUUACGCAAGUAUUGUUGUCUUGUAGACACAAUAUUUUGAAAGAAAUUUUGAGAACUAUUAUAAACUUAAAUCGAGUGUUUUUCAAAGGCUAAGAAAACAUAUGAGUUAUCUAUGAUAAGUAAUACUCAUAUUCUGAAGUGAAUAUAAGAUCUUACAUAGUUAGUCAAAUUUAAUAUCGUUUAUACUAGAAUAUAAAAUUUUAAUUAUUAUCUCGUUAUUGUUUUAUUAACAUAUGAUUGAUUAUUAAAAUACAUGGAAGUAAUUUUGGAUUAUAAGAUCUCAUUAAGGGAGUAACUGAUAAGCAAUGAAAAGUAAAUUAGAAGUUUUGAAAGAACUAGAAGUUUCAAAAGAAUUAAAAGUUUCAAGAGUAUAUUUGGCUUAACCGGAUUGGUCAUCCUGGUUUAAUGAUGAUGUGAAAGUAUUGAGAAUUAUGUGGACAUUAGGUGAAAAACCAGAAGAUUCUCCCUAAUGAUUUAUCAAUUGUUACUUGCUCAGAAAGCAAUAUGAUAAUGUGAUUUUUUUACGAGUCAAAAUAAUUUGGACUUUAUCUAUUCGUAAGUAUAUACAAGGAGAUGAUUAUGGAUUGAUCACCCACUGUAUGAUAUUUA
rnacentral:sRNA from 1 species